GGAGGGUUACCCAAGUCUGGCUCGAGGGAACGAUUUCUUAUGAGAUUGUAGGUCGGGAAACCGGCGCGUGUGGUUUAAAUCCCACACCCUCCU
rnacentral:tRNA from 1 species